GGCGAACGCUGGCGGCGUGCUUAACACAUGCAAGUCGAACGGAAAGGCCCUGCUUUUGUGGGGUGCUCGAGUGGCGAACGGGUGAGUAACACGUGAGUAACCUGCCCUUGACUUUGGGAUAACUUCAGGAAACUGGGGCUAAUACCGGAUAGGAGCUCCUGCUGCAUGGUGGGGGUUGGAAAGUUUCGGCGGUUGGGGAUGGACUCGCGGCUUAUCAGCUUGUUGGUGGGGUAGUGGCUUACCAAGGCUUUGACGGGUAGCCGGCCUGAGAGGGUGACCGGCCACAUUGGGACUGAGCUACGGCCCAGACUCCUACGGGAGGCAGCAGUGGGGAAUAUUGCACAAUGGGCGGAAGCCUGAUGCAGCAACGCCGCGUGCGGGAUGACGGCCUUCGGGUUGUAAACCGCUUUCGCCUGUGACGAAGCGUGAGUGACGGUAAUGGGUAAAGAAGCACCGGCUAACUACGUG
rnacentral:rRNA from 1 species